ACGAGUGAUGCUUAUAAUGUUUAAAAUAGGAAUUUAUCUUCCCUUUUGUCCUCAGGAAGCCUAUCUGGCUGGAAGGGAGCAAUGGCGUCGUCAUCCGCGAUGUAUUAGUGGAAACGAUUCCUCAUAAGAAAGAACACGCUACCGACAGAUGGACUCUCAACGUUACCCUCUGUUACAAGUCUUCAAGUACUAAGCCACGGAUUGGAACAGUCUGGGUGGCUUUGGAGGAUGCUUUCCUAGGCAUGGAGUCUGUUACAUUUCAGCCGUCGAUGCAGCCAGAUAGCAAACUCGAACUACUUGUCCCAGUGCCAGAUGGCAUCACUAUUCUUCGCUGGUGGCCAGUCGGUUACGGUCAGCAAAGUUUGUACAACUUGAAAAUAGCAGCUUCCGUAGGCGACGAACUGUUGGAGAAGAGCAUCGCUAUCGGGUUUCGAACAGUUCAGCUAA